rnacentral:rRNA from 1 species
UACGAAGGGGGCUAGCGUUGCUCGGAAUCACUGGGCGUAAAGCGCACGUAGGCGGACUCUUAAGUCAGGGGUGAAAUCCUGGAGCUCAACUCCAGAACUGCCUUUGAUACUGGGAGUCUCGAGUUCGGGAGAGGUGAGUGGAACUGCGAGUGUAGAGGUGAAAUUCGUAGAUAUUCGCAAAGAACACCAGUGGCGAAGGCGGCUCACUGGCCCGAGUACUGACGCUGAGGUGCGAAAGCGUGGGAGC